rnacentral:rRNA from 1 species
CCUACGGGAGGCAGCAGUGGGGAAUAUUGGGCAAUGCGCGCAAGCCUGACCCAGCAACGCCGCGUGAAGGAAGAAGGCCUUCGGGUUGUAAACUUCUUUUCUCAGGGACGAAGAUAGUGACGGUACCUGAGGAAUGAGUCACCGCUAACUACGUGCCAGCAGCCGCCGAAAUACGUAGGAGGCAAGCGUUAUCCGGAUUUAUUGGGUGUAAAGGGCGUGUAGGCGGGAUCGCAAGUCAGCUGUGAAAGUUCAGGGCUCAACCCUGAGACUGCAUUUGAAACUGUGUUUCUAGAGUGCUGGAGAGGCAGGCGGAAUUCCGGGUGUAGCGGUGAAAUGCGUAGAUAUACGGAGGAACACCGGUGGCGAAGGCGGAUUGCUGGACAGUAACUGACGCUGAGGCGCGAAAGCGUGGGGAGCAAACAGGAUUAGAUACCCUAGUAGUC